rnacentral:lncRNA from 1 species
AUGGGGCAAACCCUGCUGGGUGGCAUCGAUGUCCCCAACCCCAUGGCACGGGGACGCCCCUCGGUGCCCCACAGCAGGGCACCAGACCCCGAGCGGUGCCAGGCUCCCAGCACAACCCAAAGCCCUCGCCCCAAACCCUCCGGUGGCUGCGGCUCCAGCACAGCCUCCCGUCCCCAACCCGCUGCCAGGGAUAAAAAUAACCGGGCAGGAGAAGGGAGAGGCAGCGGGAGCUGCAGUGUGCCCUGCUACCACGUCCCCUCUGCGUGGGGACGGCCAGGCUGGGGGGUUCUGCCCCCACCAAAGUGGGACAGGGUGCACAGCACGGUGCUGGGGUCCUUGUCCUUGACGUGGGAUGAGAGGGGACCUGUCCCACUUUAUGGGGCAAAAGGGUUUCGCUGGCCCCCACGGGGUUUUGGGGAUAAUUUGGGGGUGCUGGGUGGCUGCAGGGACAGCCACCCUCCUUCUCCCACCCCCGUCCCCAAGCCCCCAGCACCCACCAGAAACCUUCUGGGUGGGAAAGAGCAGUUUGUGCUCAAGGGACGGGGCAGCGGCCACGCCGCCUCCUCCCAAAAAUCCGGCAAAGGGCUGCAGCCACGCCGGGGGCGGGCGGCCGCGGCCGUGCCUAUGUUAGGAUGUUCUGGUGCCGAGGGCAGCUUGCGUCGCGGGCAAGAAUUAAUUAACGCUAAGCACUUUUGGACAGCGGCCCAGGCUCUUUUCGCUGUUUUCAUUUCUGCCAGCUCCAACCGAGCCCUCCGGUGUCCACUGGGUCCGGGGUUAGCCCACGGCGUUGGGAUGUCCCCGCUGGGGUGCGCGCACAGCUCCGGCGCUGCUCCCCGUUGCCAAAAGUGGCGCCUUCCCGGCCACACCAUGCCCGAUCCCCCAACACCACCCGUGUUGGAGACCAGGGAGCGGCUCCACAGCCCCCUCCUUUCCCCCUCCCAGGCCUGGCUGCCUUUAAAUUUAGCUUUUUUCCAUCUCCGGUUGUGCGAAGCCGGGCCGGCGGCCAAAGCCCUGGCCGCCCCGCGCAGGACGCCAGCCCCGCGCUGCGUGGGUGAGCGGGUGGGUGCCGCGGGUGUGCAUCGCGUGGGCAAGCCCAAUUUAGAUAUUUAUUUAUUUUUUGGGGGGGGAUGUGUGUGUGUGUGCUUGUGCUCGGUGCGUGCACGCGCACCCAGGAUUGUGGGCAGAGGUGCACGCGCGUGGGGAGCCCCCCCGUGGGGUUUGGGGUGUGCCGGGGGCAGGCUCCAGCAGAGGGUGCCCUGCCCCUAUGUCGCCCUGUGGGGACCCGAUCCUGUGCCCCCAUGGGGGGGGAACACGGGUUGGGGUGUCCCCAAUGUGGGCUGGGGGCUUGGGGCUUCAGGCUGGCCCCCCCUGGUUUGUUGCCACCAGGCUGAGACCUGA